rnacentral:rRNA from 1 species
GCGAUUGGAUUGCACGUCUAAGCAGUAAGGCUGAGUAUUAGGCAAAUCCGGUACUCGUUAAGGCUGAGCUGUGAUGGGGAGAAGACAUUGUGUCUUCGAGUCGUUGAUUUCACACUGCCGAGAAAAGCCUCUAGAUAGAAAAUAGGUGCCCGUACCGCAAACCGACACAGGUAGUCAAGAUGAGAAUUCUAAGGUGAGCGAGCGAACUCUCGUUAAGGAACUCGGCAAAAUGACCCCGUAACUUCGGGAGAAGGGGUGCUCUUUAGGGUUAACGCCCAGAAGAGCCGCAGUGAAUAGGCCCAAGCGACUGUUUAUCAAAAACACAGGUCUCUGCUAAACCGUAAGGUGAUGUAUAGGGGCUGACGCCUGCCCGGUGCUGGAAGGUUAAGAGGAGUGGUUAGCUUCUGCGAAGCUACGAAUCGAAGCCCCAGUAAACGGCGGCCGUAACUAUAACGGUCCUAAGGUAGCGAAAUUCCUUGUCGGGUAAGUUCCGACCCGCACGAAAGGCGUAACGAUUUGGGCACUGUCUCAACGAGAGACUCGGUGAAAUCAUAGUACCUGUGAAGAUGCAGGUUACCCGCGACAGGACGGAAAGACCCCGUGGAGCUUUACUGUAGCCUGAUAUUGAAAUUCGGCACAGCUUGUACAGGAUAGGUAGGAGCCUUUGAAACGUGAGCGCUAGCUUACGUGGAGGCGCUGGUGGG